UACGUAGGGGGCAAGCGUUGUCCGGAAUCAUUGGGCGUAAAGAGCGUGUAGGCGGCCCGAUAAGUCCGCUGUGAAAGUCCAGGGCUCAACCCUGGAAUGCCGGUGGAUACUGUCGGGCUUGAGUACGGAAGAGGCGAGUGGAAUUCCUGGUGUAGCGGUGAAAUGCGCAGAUAUCAGGAGGAACACCAAUUGCGAAGGCAGCUCGCUGGAACGGUACUGACGCUGAGGCGCGAAAGCGUGGGGAGCAAACAGG
rnacentral:rRNA from 1 species